rnacentral:rRNA from 1 species
GAUGAACGCUAGCGGCAGGCCUAACACAUGCAAGUCGAGGGGUAGUAUAGCAAUAUAUGAGACCGGCGCACGGGUGCGUAACGCGUAUGCAACCUACCUUUUACAGGGGGAUAGCCCAGAGAAAUUUGGAUUAAUACCCCAUGGUGUAUUUGAGUGGCAUCACUUGAUUACUAAAGUUCCAACGGUAAAAGAUGGGCAUGCGUCCUAUUAGCUGGAUGGUAAGGUAACGGCUUACCAUGGCUACGAUAGGUAGGGGUCCUGAGAGGGAGAUCCCCCACACUGGUACUGAGACACGGACCAGACUCCUACGGGAGGCAGCAGUGAGGAAUAUUGGACAAUGGGCGCAAGCCUGAUCCAGCCAUGCCGCGUGCAGGAAGACGCAUCUAUGGUGUGUAAACUGCUUUUGUACGGGAAGAAACACUCCUACGUGUAGGAGCUUGACGGUACCGUAAGAAUAAGGAUCGGCUAAC